GUGAAUCAUCGAAUCUUUGAACGCAAAUUGCACUCUCCUCGGAUAGUAUGCCUGUUUGAGGGUCAGCCUAUAAAAAAUCGACAUAGUUGCUGUUUCUCGGCCGCGUUCGUCGGACCUUGGGUCAUCUUAAAUCUUUUGGUUUUAAGCGACUUGAAAUUUUCUUUUUGGUUCCAUGAACGCUUCUAAGAUGUAUUUCUAUACACGUUUCUGGUAUCGAUUUUUAUUAGACGUGACCAUCAUAUCGGACCCCGCCCAUAAGCUUUC
rnacentral:misc_RNA from 1 species